CCGGCGACUCAAGCAUGAAAUCGACGCAACAACCGCUCCCAAAAGAAUGACAAGCACAAGUUCCUCCCAAGCAGACAACCGCGGUGAUAGGAAAUUACGAAUUAGGACACUAUUUCUAGCUAUCGAAGCAUAUAGUUCGGGACGGGAGGGGCCUGGUUGUGGUUGGUUACCGACCGCUGAAGGCGAUGCCGUAGGCGGAGACGACGCAGGUCUGGAUGAUGGUGUUCUCCUGCCUGGUGAAGGGAUGGCAGAGGAAGCCCAUCCUCUCGACGGCGGCGGUCCACAUGCGGACGAAGAAGAAACCGAGCAGCCCCGCGGAGACGUUGAGCGAGGGGACGAUCCCCGUGGUGAGGUUGAGCUUCAUGACGAUGACGUUGAACAUGACGGCGAGCAGCGCGCUGACGACGAACGCCCGCAGCGUGAGCUGCUCCCGCCAUGACGGCACCGCCUUGUCCGCGAACACCCGCUCCAGGGACGCCUGGCCGUCGGCCCCAGCGUCGCCAUUGCCGUCCAGCCCCUCGGCCUCGGCCUCGCCCUUGCCAGCGUGGCGGUGCCGUAACGCAGGGGAUGCAGCCGCCGCCUCCGACACCUCCUCCUCGGCCCCGCUGCCGCCUCCCACCCCGGUGGUGUGCGGCGCCAUUUGGUUUGACGCUCGUGCAGUCGUGCUGCCUCCGUGCCUCGGAUUGAUGUUUGGCGCCUUUUGGAGUGGUGGGAGGGACUGUCUGUCUGGGACUUCCGGCAGAAAUGAAGAUAAAAAAAAACUGUGAUGAGUUGAUGAUGCGCUGUGGCACUAGCUGCAGGAGUAGUGGAGUACUGAAAUUUAGGGCUUAUUUGUAUGCAGUAAUGCAGUAGAGCUAAGGUUAUUCUCAUUGUAAGAGCAUCUCCAACAACGUGACCUAUAAAAAUGCUC
rnacentral:misc_RNA from 1 species